CAGUAUUCUUUUCCAAGCUGAAGUGUCUGGUUAGAUUGUUUUCUUCAUCUGCGCUGCUGAAAUAUUGCCUGCGCGAUGAGAGAGCUUUCUGGCUGUCGCUUCGUUACACGGUUUGGAAAACCUCCUACACACUUUGUUUUCUUAUUAGAGACAAUUUUGCUUUGGUCAGUUGCCGUGUAAAAGCGGUGAUUCUGGCCGAAGGUUUUACAAAACUCAUUUUUUUUAGAUUUCCCCCGGGAAGUUUAAGAACGUGUUUUAAUAUCUAGUCAGUUUAAAUGAAGUUGUUAACAGCAACUUUUCUAAAAUUUAAAACUUUCAACAACGGAUCUCUUGGUUCUCGCAUCGAUGAAGAACGCAGCGAAAUGCGAUAAGUAAUGUGAAUUGCAGAUUUUCGUGAAUCAUUGAAUCUUUGAACGCACAUUGCGCCCUCUGGUAUUCCAGAGGGCAUGCCUGUUUGAGCGUCAUUUCCUUCUCAAACCCUUGGGUUUGGUGAUGGGCGAUACUCCGAUUUUGAGGAGUUCGCUUGAAAUGAAUCGGCAUGAGUUUUUGUUAUGAACGACAGUGUUUAUUCAAUGUAUUAGGUUUAGUCCAUCGUUGAUUGACGUCUGUUGAUUAUUUCAAAGUCUGGCUCUGCCUAACCAAAUUUUAUCAUAAAGUUG
rnacentral:misc_RNA from 2 species